rnacentral:misc_RNA from 1 species
AAGUCGUAACAAGGUUUCCGUAGGUGAACCUGCGGAAGGAUCAUUAUAGAUGUGCGCAAGCACUUAUCCUUCAAUACACCUGUGCACUGUGGUCUUCGGACCUUUACAAACAUUGUAGUCAUGAACGUCUUGAUAAUAACAAAAUAAAACUUUCAACAACGGAUCUCUUGGCUCUC